GAGAGGAGCAGAUAUUUCCCUCCUGCACGUCCCAAGCAAGAGGCAGGCCCGGAAGAGCCAGCAGCUCUGCUCUGUGUCUGUGACACUUUUGAGGAGAUUGCAGGACAGUGAUCUUUGCAGCCGUUGCGUGUGAACUGAGGUGAUAGGAGGAAGGUGAAGGCGAGGGCUGUUUGAGAAGGGUGCCUACCCCCAGCCCGGGAAGAAGGAGAGGCCUGCGGAAGCACUAAGUCUUUCUUCUCUGAGUGUUUACCCUUCAUCAAUGAUGGGUUGUUCAAAAAAGGGGGUUCCUGGUGCCAGUUAAACCUCUGUGUUGCCCAGAAUGACCUGACCGGAGAGCACUCGUGCAUCAUGCUGAAGACGCUCACUGAUGAGGAUGAGGCUGACCAGGGAGGUUGGCUUGCAGCCUUCUGGAAAGAUUUCCGACGGCGGUUCCUGGCCUUGCUCUCCUACCAGUUCAGCACCUUCUCUCCUUCCCUGGCUCUGAACAUCAUUCAGAACAGGAACAUGGGGAAGCCAGCCCAGCCUGGUGAGCCGGGCGGGGA
rnacentral:sRNA from 1 species